CAGCGAGGUGACUGGUUUGUUGCAGUUCUGCUGAAAUUUAAAAAUCGUCUUUUUUCUACAUUUUCUCUGUUUAAGCUCCUGGAGGUUUGUUUGGUGAUGGGUGUUACUGCAGUCCUGUCAGUGAACAUGGUAACAGCCAUCAUGUUACUGACUGUCUUCUCUCUUUCAGAAGAGUCGGAUGAAUGUCGGACUACAAGGUCAGAUCUCUUCAUCACGACACCAAAGAAGAU